rnacentral:rRNA from 1 species
AACGAACGCUGGCGGCAUGCCUAACACAUGCAAGUCGAACGAGACCUUCGGGUCUAGUGGCGCACGGGUGCGUAACGCGUGGGAACCUGCCCUUAGGUUCGGAAUAACUCCCCGAAAGGGGUGCUAAUACCGGAUAAUGUCUUCGGACCAAAGAUUUAUCGCCUUUGGAUGGGCCCGCGUUGGAUUAGCUAGUUGGUAGGGUAAAAGCCUACCAAGGCGACGAUCCAUAGCUGGUCUGAGAGGAUGAUCAGCCACACUGGGACUGAGACACGGCCCAGACUCCUACGGGAGGGAGCAGUGGGGAAUAUUGGAAAAUGGGCGAAAGCAUGAUCCAGCAAGGCCGCGUGAGUGAUGAAGGCCUUAGGGUUGUAAAGCUCUUUUACCCGGGAUGAUAAUGACAGUACCGGGAGAAUAAGCUCCGGCUAACUCCGUG